GGACGAAUUGGGUCAAUUUUAAGAGAGGUGCAUCAACCUUAUCAUGAAGCAAGACGCCAGGGAGCUCGGAAUCUUAAUCCCACACCGUACCAUGCUGAAUGCAUGGGGCACAAGGUUCACCUGGACCAAAACGAGAAACUUGUAAUGUUUGGA